UGGGGAAUAUUGCACAAUGGGCGCAAGCCUGAUGCAGCCAUGCCGCGUGUAUGAAGAAGGCCUUCGGGUUGUAAAGUACUUUCAGUCGGGAGGAAGGUGGUAAGGUUAAUAACCUUAUCAAUUGACGUUACCGACAGAAGAAGCACCGGCUAACUCCGUGCCAGCAGCCGCGGUAAUACGGAGGGUGCAAGCGUUAAUCGGAAUUACUGGGCGUAAAGCGCACGCAGGCGGUUGAUUGAGUCAUAUGUGAAAUCCCCGGGCUUAACCCGGGAAUUGCAUCUGAUACUGGUCAGCUAGAGUCUUGUAGAGGGGGGUAGAAUUCCAUGUGUAGCGGUGAAAUGCGUAGAGAUGUGGAGGAAUACAGGUGGCGAAGGCGGCCCCCUGGACAAAGACUGACGCUCAGGUGCGAAAGCGUGGGGAGCAAACAGG
rnacentral:rRNA from 1 species